rnacentral:lncRNA from 10 species
AAAGGAGGAAAAUAAAUCUAGCAGUAUAGGACGUUCUUAAUCUUGUCAGUUAACCCUAAUUUUAACACCCCAUCUCUGUUUGUCAUUCUACUUAACCACUUUGGAUUAAGCAAAUUCAGUCACUUUGGAAAUAGUACGUGUGGAUGGUACCUUACAGGAUGAAGGACCAUAACAAUAUUCUCUAGCGCAGGCCUCUACCUCCACAGGGGGACAGACUGAUGAGCCAGAUCAACUCCUGCAUCCUCUUCCUCAAGGAAAGCCCCCAUCAAUAAAACCACAAGGUUACAGUGGAGCCAGAGGGAGAGCUGGCCUGAGUUGAGACCUCCUCAUGGAACUCAUGGCUUCAGUUUCCUAAAAUGGGGAUUGUACUCCCCUAGCUCUCCUUGCUUCACAGAGCUGUUUGUGACAACUCAUGAGUAAUGUUAUGUGAAAGGGCUUCACACACUGCAGUGUGCUGAAUAAAUGUAAAGAGUCCAUGCUAUCCAAUUUGGAGACAGAAAUUAGAGGACUCCUCCUCACACUAGUUAAGUACAUCUCUUAAAUUGCUUGGACUGUUGGCGUGGUUCUCGCCAGAGUUGAAUAUAAUUCCUCUGUUGAUGGGUCAGCCUUUAUUUCCCCCAGUGCUGUUUCUUACUUGAGUUAAUGAGUCCAAAGCUCAUGUUUGCAUGCUACCUCUGACCCUCACUAAGUGCUCACCUGCAGCUCUGCCCUGUCCUCAGAAUGAUGUGACCCUCAGGGCCAAACACUCCACAGGCUGCACUCUGCCACCUCCAAAUCCCCACCAGUGGGUCCAAUUCUCAGUCAUCUGCUUGUUGUAUUUCUGUUGUUUCUGUAUUCAUGUCAAGGAUAUUUGGCUGCAGAAUUCCUGCAAUAUAUUUUAGGUGAAUGUGCAGCAUGAUCUUAUUCUGGAGUCCAGGAGACUCCACCUAGGAUUGCUCACAAGUAGGUCAAGUGGAGGGGGUGGCUAAGGCCAGUUUUUCUGCUUGCUAUGCUGGUGCAGGCAGAGGCUUUAGAGUUAUGUUUCCAAUAAAAGGCAUAGAUUUUCACUGCCUGAUGAUCAAAGUCAAACUCCUAAGCCUGGAAUUUGAGGCUCUCAAAAUCUGGCAAUAUCAUUUUUUCCUUCUUCUCUUCUAGUUUCUUCUGUGCACCACAGGCCUCAUGCACCAGGGUGCACCCCCUUCCAUGUACAUAUUCCACAUUUUCACACAUCAAGCAUGCAUAUGUACAAUUUAUACAUACAGUUUCCUCUGAUUCUUUUUUGUCCUUAAAUGUCUGCCUGCUAUCAUCAUGACCAUUUUUAGGGAGAAAUGCUUACCCGUACCUCCUAUUUCCACAGAGAGGAGAGGCAAAGUCGAGAGUUUCACCACUCUCUUUAGGAGGAGAAAAGAUGGAGGAACAUUCCCAGCCCCUGACUCCAUCUUUGACUCGCUCUUCCUAGGAGAAGAGGAGUAACUGGGAUCAGAACCUGAGCAUACCCAGCUCAGCUCCACCAUCCCUCCGUCUUCAGGGCUCCUCCUGCCUGCAGAUCAAGGGCUUCUUGCCUGGCUCCCACUUACUUUCUCCCUGUGGUUGCCGUCUAGAGGCAGUCAUGAAGCCCCGUGCUCAGGGCAAGUCCCUCCACGGGGGCAGGACUGGCAUGAAGGAGUAAUGCCCUCUGUAGUGGGAAGGGUGAGAACGUCUGCCUGGGACUGGCCCUGCCCUCAUAAGGGUUUAUACUGCAAAGGCAGGGGAAAGAGGCCUGUUCUCCAAUCCAGAGUUACCAACUGAUAGUUUGAGUUUCUUCCUUCUGGCCCUAGUGCCCAUACUGAAUUGACUCUGAAUCCUCAGAGGAAGAGAGAAAUUAUUUAUGUCCUAAAACCUCAACAGCUAAAUGUCACAUCUUCAAAGACGU